UUUUACAUAAGUUGCCAUUUUUACAUAAAUCCCUAAUUACUGCCCCAACGCCAUUUCCAUGAGCAUUAGAAGCUCCAUCAAAAACCAUGGUCCAUCGGGAUCCAGGCUCAGGUCCUUCCUCGGGACCGGGGAUGUUGCAAUCCCUAAUCAACAUGAUAUCCUCGUCGGGGAAUUCAAAACGCAUAGACUGAUAGUCCUCCAAGGGCUAUUGUGCAAGAUAAUCAGACAAUACACUCCCUUUGAUGGCCUUUUGAGUGAUAUGUUGGAUAUUGU
rnacentral:lncRNA from 1 species